rnacentral:lncRNA from 1 species
GACUACUCAUUUAAGAACCAUUUGGUGUGGGCAUAGUGUAAAAGUGGGGUGUGGACCGUGUCUUCCACUUUGUAUGAAAUCAAUUAAAUUAUACAACAUUCUAAGCUAUUACCCACCAAGCUCUGCAUGGUUACAAAUACUGUGUCAUUCUAGGGCUUUACUUCAAAACUUGUGUAUAUGUGUUAUUGAGUAAGAGUCCCAUUUUAUGCAAAUUACCUUCAUAACAGUCCUAAACAAGAACUUAAGGGGAAGACCUCAGUUAUAUAUAUCAAGAAGACAUCAACAUUAAUGAUUCUGUUUGGACUAGAGACUUUGGCACCAGUUCUUGGACACUUAAUAUAAUUCAAACACAUUCAAAAGUUGGGAAAAGUCAUCCAUUUGAGUCUGCUCAGCUCAAGGUUCAACUUCCAUAGACUGAAGACUAAGACGGCGAGAAGGAUCCAGCGUACACGAAGCUGGUCCUCACCCUUGAGCAACGAUGCUGAUUCAGAAUCCCAUCAGUGACCUGGCAGAGAUGGAAAACAGCUUUGCGUAUUUUUCGAAAGGGGUGUUGUGGAACCUCAUGAUUUCUCAGGAGAUACCUGCCUUUCUGGAACUUUGAAUACAUGGAUAGUGCAUGUGCCUUCUAGGCAGAGACUUAUGUACUAGGAAAUGUUCCUUUACUCCAUGGUCCCGAAUCACAGCUUGUGCUAGGAAAGUUGCCAUCUAGAAACGCCUUUAUCAUUGCCUGAUAGUCUGGCAAUAAACUUGGUUGGGAUUCUCACUUGUUAUAUAGUAAAUCACUCUUUAACAAAAGUAACUUUUUGACGAUUCUCAAUCUGUCCUGCUUCACAGUUGGAGAUAGCUUCCCCCUAGAUGCAAUUCCAUGCAGUGUUUGCCUCAAUUUCUCACUUGCUGCAUGAUGGGACAUUAACAGAGCCAGACUUUUUCCUUCCUCUGAGUCCGAAUGACCCUUGGAUUACCUAUGUGUAGACAGAGUGUCCUGGUUUGACCAAUUCUAUUCUAGGCACUGACUUCAAUAAACAACUUUCAGAGGUUGUCCUCUGGUGCCACCACCCAAAGGUAAAAGACACAGAGAUAAGCUAAAAUUUCUUGCUCAGACAAUAGGAUGAAGAGGUCAGGGCAGGUCACCCAAGUUCACUGGGUCAUACACAUAGUAGGUAAUGAUUCUCGAAUAGUAUUGGCAGCCGUAUUUAACCAAAUUGUCAGUGUAAGUAUUGUUUAUGCCAACAGGCACUGCUAGGUAAACUAGUCCAUGGGAAAA